rnacentral:rRNA from 1 species
AGAUCUUCGGAUGGAUUUAAACAGCUUAGUGGCGGACGGGUGAGUAACGCGUGGGUGACCUGCCCCAUACCGGGGGAUAACAGCUGGAAACGGCUGCUAAUACCGCAUAAGCACACAGCAUCGCAUGAUGCAGUGUGAAAACUCCGGUGGUAUGGGAUGGGCCCGCGUCUGAUUAGCCAGUUGGCGGGUAACGGCCCACCAAAGCGACGAUCAGUAGCCGGCCUGAGAGGGUGAACGGCCACAUUGGGACUGAGACACGGCCCAAACUCC